rfam:Lactobacillus pobuzihii strain NBRC 103219 NODE_24, whole genome shotgun sequence.
CAGAAGUCUAUGGGGUGCUAUUAUAGCUGAGAUCAGACCCAUGAACCUGCUCUGGACAAUACCAGCGAAGGGAUAGACAAAUUAAAUAAU